rnacentral:rRNA from 1 species
AUUGAACGCUGGCGGCAGGCCUAACACAUGCAAGUCGAACGAGUGGCGGACGGGAGAGCAAUGUCUGGGAAACGGCCUGAUGGAGGGGGAUAACUACUGGAAACGGAAGCUAAUACCCCAUACCAUAGGAUGGGCCCAGGUGGGAUUAGCUAGUAGGUGGGGUAACGGCUCACCAAGGCGACGAUCCCUAGCUGGUCUGAGAGGAUGACCAGCCACACUGGAACUGAGACACGGUCCAGACUCCUACGGGAGGCAGCAGUGGGGAAUAUUGCACAAUGGGCGCAAGCCUGAUGCAGCCAUGCCGCGUGUAUGAAGAAGGCCUUCGGGUUGUAAAGUACUUUCAGCUGGGAGGCGUUACCCUCAGAAGAAGCACCGGCUAACUUCGUGCCAGCAGCCGCGGUAAUAC